rnacentral:rRNA from 1 species
AUGACAUCGAGAAGGCGAUUUCCCCUCUUCCUCCCCCGAAGAAAAAGUCUUGUUUCUACUCGCGCGGCCCAACGCACAGUGCUCACGCAACCCCACCCGCCAGCCAGACGGUUUAAAAGCAGAGAGAGAAAAAUAAUGCAGUUCGAUCGUUCAAACACCUCUCUCUCUCUCCCUGCCUUUCUGGACCUCUCACGAGCAGGGGCGCCUUUCCCCCCUCCCUCCCUCUCCUCCUCCGUCCGACGGAGGAACCGCCGGACCACGCCACGGCCACGAGAUAUUCUCAUCAUAUGGAUUAAGGAAUUUAUACAAGAGUGA